AACAUUCACAAUCCCUUUGUCCUCUUCUCAUUCUUCCCCCAUCACUGCACUUGAGAACGAGGGUGUUCUCUCCGCUGGGUCCGCCAUCGAUGCCAAGUUCGGAUUCUUGCGCCUCGAUUUCCGGCAAAGCCCCAUCGUUGGCACCGUUGAGUUAUACGAAUGCCGCCGCUUGUUCCUCUGAUACAAGAACCCACCGGUCUGGCCACCAAGAAUCGAGGCUCCAAGAACCCUCCGGAAGCUAUGGCUCAUCGUGGGUCCCUCUAUCUUCAGCCGUGUUGCAGCAAUCACCAUGAACAUUGUUACCCAAGCCUUCGGCCUCCUCCUACAAGACACUUGACGAGCGAGGUGCUGAUGUGCACAUUGUUGGAGGAGGGUGCAUCACUUUGCAGUAUAUAAAUCCAUACCUGAACACUGAUGCUAGAACCAUGUCUCCUUUUGAGCAUGGGGAGGUUUUUGUCUUAGAUGAUGGUGGUGAGGAUUAGCUAUACUCAUUAUUUUCCUUGCUUUCUUGAGCAAGAUUUGUGGACAGCAUGAUAAAGAGUAAAUAAAUAAAAUUAAGUUCGUGACAUUCACUGGCAUUCCAAUCAAGGCUUCCGUUUGUUUCUGUCAUGGAUAUGGUGAUACUUGCACCUUCUUCGAAGGAACUUUUCCCACAGUGGACAGUUUUAAAUUGGAAGAUGAUGCUCCUAAUAAAGAAGAAGAUAGUCAGAGACAGAGAAAAAAGCCAAAGAGGAUUCAAGUCAAGGAGAGUCUUGACCAGGGAUAUUUCAAGUUUACCCACUUAAAAUCAUGAUUCAUGUGUAUGAAGACGAUGAUUAUGAUCCUAAGUCUACAAAACUUAUCACUCUAGGAUUUGAGUACUUGAAGUUGAAUAUUGUAUGUGUUGGAAUAGAAGGAUUAUGUAUUGAUUUGAAGUUCAAAAAAGACUGAGAGUUGUUCUGUUGAAUUAUGAACUUAGUUUUGCAUUGUAUAUUGACAUUGUAAAUUGUAUAAGUCUUUUGUAAUACUU